rnacentral:rRNA from 1 species
CAGUAGCCGCGGUAAUACGGAGGGGGCUAGCGUUGUUCGGAAUUACUGGGCGUAAAGCGCACGUAGGCGGCUUGGUAAGUUAGAGGUGAAAGCCCGGAGCUCAACUCCGGAAUUGCCUUUAAGACUGCCGAGCUAGUAGGUGAGAGAGGUAAGUGGAAUUCCGAGUGUAGAGGUGAAAUUCGUAGACAUUCGGAAGAACACCAGUGGCGAAGGCGGCUUACUGGCUCAUUCUAGACGCUGAGGUGCGAAAGCGUGGGGAGCAAACAGGAUUAGAUACCCCCGUAGUCCCUGUCUCUUAUAU